rnacentral:rRNA from 1 species
AUUGAACGCUGGCGGCAUGCCUUACACAUGCAAGUCGAACGGCAGCACGGGAGCAAUCCUGGUGGCGAGUGGCGAACGGGUGAGUAAUAUAUCGGAACGUGCCCAGUCGUGGGGGAUAACGUAGCGAAAGCUACGCUAAUACCGCAUACGAUCUAUGGAUGAAAGCGGGGGAUCGCAAGACCUCGCGCGAUUGGAGCGGCCGAUAUCAGAUUAGGUAGUUGGUGGGGUAAAAGCCUACCAAGCCUUCGAUCUGUAGCUGGUCUGAGAGGACGACCAGCCACACUGGAACUGAGACACGGUCCAGACUCCUACGGGAGGCAGCAGUGGGGAAUUUUGGAUAAUGGGCGCAAGCCUGAUCCAGCAAUGCCGCGUGCAGGAUGAAGGCCUUC